AAGAGGAGAACGGCAGAAAAACAAGACAUACCAAAAGAAGAGACAGACACUCAAGAAAAUAAUGCAUGUUUAGCCUUCAAUACUUCAUCUACUCCUGUUGAGAAAUCUGGCCUUGAUGAGUGUUCUAGUGUCAAGCCGUUCCACCCCACCACUGACACGUCACCAUCGCAGCGCAAAUGGAUCAAAGUCAGCAAGCGGUGGGAGACACAGUUAGAGAAGCUUGCCAACGUGGAUGAAUGUAAAGUUUAUAAAGUAGGAAACCUCACUCUUAUAUAUGAUGAUGAUUACUUUCGCAUAGCAAAGGGAAGUGAUGGAUCUGAGGUCUUCUUGGGCCUGAGGGAUGAUGGCAUUGAAGUAGCCAUAAAGAGAAUGAUCAGGUCAAACUGUCAGUUUCUCAAGAAUGAGAAAGGAUUUUUAUGUCUUCCAGAGCUUGACAGUAGCUGUAUUGUGAGAUACAUGGACUUUGCAGAAGACAGUUUCUUUGGUUAUCUUGCUCUUCAGCUCUGUGAAUACACUCUGGAUGAGUACAUUAAUACACACCUAUCCAACGACGACACUCAUGCCCUGAUGAAAAUCACUCAAGAGGUGCUCCGCAGUUUAAGUGUCCUUCAUGGUCCAACUACCAAGUCCUUCAUCGGGAUAUCAAACCUCAGAAUGUUUUGAUAGGUAUCAACGGAAAUGCAAAAUUGGCAGAUUUUGGCAUAAGUCGCAGAUUGACAGUGGAACAAACAACUCUAUACAGAGUCCCUGCAGGAACAAAAUGCUGGAUGGCCAAGGAGAUGUUAGACAAAAAAGGCUCUGGAUAUAAGAGGAGCUCUGAUAUACAGGUGGCUGGGAUGUUGGUAUACUACAUCCUUUCUGGUGGACACCACCCCUUUGAAGGUCCACUUGGUGAUGAACUUGAACAUAAUCAAAACAUAAUCAGGGGGACUUAUACACUAGAACAUGUGUCAGACGAGGUGGCAAAGGACCUCAUUGAGUGGAUGAUCAAUGAAGACCCUGCUGAGAGACCUACAGUGGAGGAGACCCUGAAUCAUCCCCUCUUCUGGAAACCACAGA